rnacentral:rRNA from 1 species
GUUGUAUGGUUAAGUGACUAAGCGUACAUGGUGGAUGCCUUGGCAGUCAGAGGCGAUGAAGGACGUACUAACCUGCGAUAAGCUGUGAGAAGUCGGUAAGAGACGCUAUUACUCACAGAUUUCCGAAUGGGGAAACCCACCCGAGAUAACUCGGGUAUCUGUUACUGAAUACAUAGGUAACAGAGGCGAACCGGGAGAACUGAAACAUCUAAGUAC